rnacentral:rRNA from 1 species
GACGAACGCUGGCGGCGUGCCUAAUACAUGCAAGUCGAGCGGACAGAAGGGAGCUUGCUCCCGGAAGUUAGCGGCGGACGGGUGAGUAACACGUGGGCAACCUACCCUGUAGAUCGGGAUAACAUCGAGAAAUCGGUGCUAAUACCGGAUAAUCAUUUGAAGUGCAUGCUUCGAAUGUAAAAGAUGGCUCCGGCUAUCACUACGGGAUGGGCCCGCGGCGCAUUAGCUAGUUGGUAAGGUAAUGGCUUACCAAGGCAACGAUGCGUAGCCGCCCUGAGAGGGUGAUCGGCCACACUGGGACUGAGACACGGCCCAGACUCCUACGGGAGGCAGCAGUAGGGAAUCUUCCGCAAUGGACGAAAGUCUGACGGAGCAGCGCCGCGUGAGUGAUGAAGGUUUUCGGAUCGUAAAGCUCUGUUGUUAGGGAAGAACAAGUGCCGUUUGAAUAAGGCGGCACCUUGACGGUACCUAACCAGAAGGCCACGGCUAACUACGUGCCAGCCGCCGCGGUAAUAC